rnacentral:rRNA from 1 species
UACGUAGGGGGCUAGCGUUGUCCGGAAUCAUUGGGCGUAAAGCGCGUGUAGGCGGUCCGGUAAGUCAGCUGUGAAAACCACGGGCUUAACUCGUGGCCUGCAGUUGAGACUGUCUGGCUUGAGUGUGGGAGAGGAGAGUGGAAUUCCUGGUGUAGCGGUGAAAUGCGUAGAUAUCAGGAGGAACACCGGUGGCGAAGGCGGCUCUCUGGACCACAACUGACGCUGAGGCGCGAAAGCUAGGGGAGCAAACAGG